UGGGCUUAAAGCGUNCGUAGCUCGUCCAGAAAGUCCCCGGUGAAAUCCUACAGCUUAACCGUAAGGCUUGCCAAGGAAACUCCUGGACUUGAAGGCAGGAGAGGUCAGGGGUANGUCUGGGGUAGGGGUGAAAUCCUAUAAUCCUAGACGGACCAUCAGUGGCGAAGGCGCCUGACAUGAAUGCGCUUGACAGUGAGGGACGAGAGCCAGGGUAGCGAAACGGAUUAGAUACCCGGGUAGUCCUGGCCGUAAACGAUGUUGACUAGGUGUGGCGUGACCUUAGCGGUCAUGCUAUGCCGAAGGGAAACCGUUAAGUCAACCGCCUGGGGAGUACGACCGCAAGGUUGAAACUUAAAGGAAUUGGCGGGGGAGCAC
rnacentral:rRNA from 1 species